rnacentral:snRNA from 1 species
CUUCCCUGUCCUUUCCUCAUAUCUAUCGGAUAAAUCUUUCGCCUUUUACUAAAGAUUUCCGUGGCGGGGGGGACUAAAGAGGGAAUAAAAUAAAAUUUUUUGUGACUGAUUUAAAUUAGAA